AUGAAUAUACUUUCAUGGUCCAUUUUCCAUCUCAUUUAUCUGUCCAGAACACCAGACAAAUACUUUCAAAAGCUGGCUGAACUCCCAGUGGCCAAGAAGACACUAAAACCCAACGUGGCUGGAAAAAAGAACAUCAGUGAACAUCAACAUCACUGCCCUUUCCUUCCCACAAGCACUCAGCCCUACAUAGCUGAUGUUAAAGAUGGUCAACCACUCAGUCAUCCAGAAACCUGGGAAUCAUUCCACCUUCCUCCCUCUGAAUUACUCUCUACUCCCAACAACAGAUCCUGCCCAGGGAAUCCAAAAUGUAUCGCCAAUCAAGAAAUGAUAAGCUAAACUAGAUGUGGAAGAGAGAAACGAAAGAAGAAAAAUAUGGAAAACACCAAAAAAUUGACACGGGAAUGGAGUUAAUACAGAAAUAUAUAACACACACCAUAAAGACCUCUAUGGUCACAGAGAGUAUGAGGUGGGGUACAGAUUUAGCUUGAAACUGUCUGACAGCCAAUAGAAGAGGAAAACCCAACCAGUGAUAUAAUCCACAGAAUCCAGAAGAUAAAAUGUCACUAGUCUUCAUGUCAAAGGAACUGGUAUUCAACAAUGCCCCCACUUCCCACAAAACAAUCUCUUCCAAAUGUGAUAAGAGUUGGAAGAGGACUGAGCUCCUCUGCACAAAAGGGAGCCGAGGUUAAGUAGAAAGAACAUGAGCUUUUCCUCUACUGAUGGUCCUGAUCAUUCUAAGAACAAAGGACACCAUGUUUGUAUAGUGCCAGGUAGAAUCUGACCCAUGAUAGCCAUUAUUAUGCAGAGGAAGAUAGGAUAGAAAUGGAGUGGAGGAAGUGUAGGUGGAAGAGGAACAAGAAAAUUAAUGAAGUGAUCUUGACAUCUCUGUUCCUCACCCCUAAAAUUGAGAAAACAUUGUUGAUUUCACAGGUUUAAUGGGACAAUUCAGUGAGAUAAUAGGGAAACAUGCAUUUUCAAAAUGGGUACGAUAGCUAAGCCACUGUUCCGUGAUGGUGAUUGCAGAACACACGUGACUGGCACUUCUUGAAGACAUUCUCUCUGUGACAAUGAAGAAAGCAAAAUCUUCCAUCCUUUGCACUCUGUCGUGUGGAUAUAUUUAUUCUCUGUUAUCUAAAGGUCUUCCUUUCCACCUUCAGCCAGUCUUCCACUGGCAUCCUUCAUCUGGAGCCAGCUGCCCAUCAUACAGGGCCCAGCCCAUCCCCCAGCACCUCUUCCCUUCCCUUUCUGACCAACUAGUCUCCAUCAACCAGAUGGUCCCUGACAUAGAAUGCUUUGACUUGUGAUUUUUCUAUUUUAUGAUGGUACAAAAGCAGUAUGCACUCACUAAAAACCAUAUUGAACUGAAUUUUGAUCUCUUCCCAAAUUAGCAAUAUGCAGUGUGGUCCUCCGUCCUGAUGCUUGGCGAUGGCAGCUAGCCACAGUCCCAGGUCAACCUCAUGAUAAUAAAGAUGAAUACUGACACUCCACAGCAUACUGUGUUGCUAAUCCAGGAUGCUCAGUAAGUUAGGUUUACUCAGUGCAUUUAAGGGUAGUAUUUUCAACCAAGGAUAACCCCACUGUAAGUUAAGGAGCAUCUAUAUUCCAAAACUGCCCUCUUUGUCUCUAGUAACAACAUUGAUAAUACUCAGUGUUCUUGUCCAGACCUUGUCACUGGUCUGUAAAUUUUUUGAAGGCAGAGACAUGUGCCACUUUUUGUGCUGUACAUGUAGGCUAGUACCAGUAUUUAGAAGGAACUCCAUGAACAAUAAAAGUAGACUCUUAAGUACUGUGAUGCUUAACUGAUGACCAUUCUUGCCUGAACUGAAGAUGUAACAUCAACACCUUCAACGGGAAUUAACAAAGGCUAGAAAUUAUUUUUAAACUUAUGCUCAUUCAAGUUGCAAAGCCAAAUUCCAGAAAGCUUCCCAACAUAAAAACAUUCAUUUAGAUCUAAACUUUUCUCAUCUAAGCGCACUUGGACACAUGCAAAUAAAUCAUUUCAACAAACAUUUAUCUUGAGCUGAGUUUUUCUUCUAAGCUUUUUACAACUUUGUAUAGUUCAAAAGAAAUGUAAUCUUCAUAUUAUUCCUUCAUUUGUUCAUAAAUCAUUAAUAUGUUGUUUUGAAUGAACUUUUUAAGAUGAAAAAAAACACCCUCUCAUUUAAGUUGUUGAAAGCAGCUUUUUUUCUUAAAUAUGGAGGUUAUUUUUUACAGAAGAGAAACAUAAAUAUACUUAAAUACUAUUGCUUCCUAAUCUAUACUGUUUGAAAUAUUUGACUAAAUACAUGUCUAUUAUUUAUCUAUAUUUUCAGGGUGUACCUGUAAUUGCAGUGAGCUAUUGAAAGCCAUUCAGCUAGUGAGAUAUCAGAACCUUCAGACAGUUUUUCAGCAAAUAAUGAAAGGGCAUUGAAUGUUUUGGUCAUCUAUAACAAGAAAGAGCUGUAGAAUGAAAAAAUAAAAUUAUUUGGUCUGCUCAGUGCAGCUAACACCUAACAUAUGACCUUUCUUCUCAGCUUUAUAAAUAUCUUUUGCAUCACAAAUGGUGCCAGAAUUGAAUAGAGAGCCUUUAAAACAAGGCAGUGUGUAGACAAUAGCUAUUAUCCUCGAGGACUCAUCUAACUGGCUGUCAGCCAACCUUACAUGUGGAUACUCCUAGAAAGAUAAAAUAUGACAGUUAAUUGGUGUAUGUGAAAAGAGUAAAAUAUCUUAAACAAAAUAUAGCUCAUGCCAAUCAAAUGCUAGAGAAAGUAUUUUCUCAGGAAGUCAUAUUGACCAUAUCAGACACAAGGAAUCAGAAUGUCUGAAAUAACAGUAAUGAUAUAUUUCCUCUGGGCAUGCGCUCUCUCUCUCUCUCUCUCUCUCUCUCUCUCUCUCUCUCUCUCUCUUCUCUCUCUCUCUCUGCUUCCCUCCCUACCUUUUUUCUCCUUUUCUCUUCUUUUACUGAUUACUAGCUAUGAACAUAUGCCACUCCUUCAAAUACAAUCAAUCUGCAAGUAUCCCCAAAUCACUGUAAUUAAUACAUAACAGAUCUGAUCUAAUACAUUUGUACAAUAAAUUCCCACAUUAUGUUACCUCAAAUCAUGUUAAACUGAUCUAUCUCACAGGGACAUAAUCUGUCAAAGAUUUUAGUGGUCAAAUGAUUUGACUUAGGAGUUUUGUAACUAUGAAGCUGUGACUUGUCCCCUGUCACAUGAUAAUGGUUAUAAGCAAAACUAGAUGUGGAAUUCAGAUAUCCUGACCCUUUCCCAGGGCUCUGUCAACUCAGCAUGGUUGGAUUUCUGCCUCUAUGCGCAUGAAUCACUAGCAGGGGAGCAAAGUUGCUGCUCUGAAGAAGCCUGCUUUGAAGCCUACAUGCAUAUACUCACUUCUUGCUAAAUAUUUUCUAUAGUUUGCUCAGUUAAGGAACAAUUUAUGAUGUUCCUAAACUCACUCAAAGCAAGUAUAGUAAAGUAUUAUCAGAAUGGGAGGUAUAGUGGUAGAAUUUCUAGAAGCAAAAUAAAAUACUGUUACCUAAAAGUUUGUCAACCAAACUAUAAAGAGAAAGAACUAAGGUACAGUCAGAAGAAUUCAAACAGUGAGCUCCCUCAGAGUAUGACAGCGCACAUCACAGGUUUAGGGAAGAAAAUCAGUAGAGCAAGGAUCUAGAAAAUGAAUGGUGGGAGGAAAUUAUAAAGAUCAGAGUAGAAAUUAAUGCAGUGAAGGCUAAGAAACAAUACAAACAAUUAAUGAAUUGAAUAGUUGGUUCUUUGAAAGAAUAAAUAAAAUUGAUAAACACCUAACCAACCUUACCAAAAAAAGAAAGAAAAACCUCAAACUCAUGCAAUAAAGAAUGAAACAAGAGAAGUCACUACAGAUCCUGUGGAAAUUCAGAAUAUCAUCAAUACCUACUUCAAAAAUCUUUAUUCUUACAGGAUGGAAAACACAGAAGAAAUAGACAGAUUCCUAGAAACAUAUGAAUUACCAAAGCUGAAUCAAGAAGAUAUAAAAAUUCUGAAAAACCCAAUAUCAAUCAAUGAAAUAAAAAUGUAAUUAAAAACUUACCAACAAAGAAAAGCUCAGGUCCUAAUGAAUUCACAGCUGAAAUCUGCAAGAAAUUUAGAAAACAUUUAACACCAAUACUCUCCAAACUCUGAUGAAAUUGAAAGGGAAACAAUUCUCCCUAAAUCAUUCCUGGAGGCAUGUAUUACCAUAAUACCAAAACCAGGCAAAGACCCAACCAAAACAGAG
rnacentral:lncRNA from 1 species